AGUGAACGCUGGCGGUAGGCCUAACACAUGCAAGUCGAACGGCAGCACAGUAAGAGCUUGCUCUUACGGGUGGCGAGUGGCGGACGGGUGAGGAAUACAUCGGAAUCUACUUUUUCGUGGGGGAUAACGUAGGGAAACUUACGCUAAUACCGCAUACGACCUACGGGUGAAAGCAGGGGAUCUUCGGACCUUGCGCGAUUGAAUGAGCCGAUGUCGGAUUAGCUAGUUGGCGGGGUAAAGGCCCACCAAGGCGACGAUCCGUAGCUGGUCUGAGAGGAUGAUCAGACACACUGGAACUGAGACACGGUCCAGACUCCUACGGGAGGCAGCAGUGGGGAAUAUUGGACAAUGGGCGCAAGCCUGAUCCUGCCAUACCGCGUGGGUGAAGAAGGCCUUCGGGUUGUAAAGCCCUUUUGUUGGGAAAGAAAAGCAGCAGGUUAAUACCCCGCUGUUCUGACGGUACCCAAAGAAUAAGCACCGGCUAACUUCGUG
rnacentral:rRNA from 1 species